UAGGGAAUCUUCGGCAAUUGGGGGAACCCUGACCGAGCAACGCCGCGUGAGUGAAGAAGGUUUUCGGAUCGUAAAGCUCUGUUGUUAAGGAAGAACGAGUGUGAGAAUGGAAAGUUCAUGCUGUGACUGUACUUAAUCAGAAAGGGACGGCUAACUACGUGCCAGCAGCCGCGGUAAUACGUAGGUCCCGAGCGUUGUCUGGAUUUAUUGGGGAUAGAGCGAGCGCAGGCGGUUAGAAAAGUCUGAAGUGAGAGGCAGUGGCUAAACCAAUGUAGGCUUUGGAAACUGUUUAACUUGAAUGCAGAAGAGGAGAGUGGAAUUCGAUGUGUAGCGGUGAUAUGCGUAGAUAUAUGGGGGAACGCCAGUGGAGAAGGCGACUCUCUGGUCUGUAACUGACGCUGAGGCUCGAAAGCGUGGGUAGCAAACAGG
rnacentral:rRNA from 1 species